CGGACGGGUGAGUAACACGUGGAUAACCUACCUAUAAGACUGGGAUAACUUCGGGAAACCGGAGCUAAUACCGGAUAAUAUAUUGAACCGCAUGGUUCAAUAGUGAAAGACGGUUUUGCUGUCACUUAUAGAUGGAUACGCGCCGCAUUAGCUAGUUGGUAAGGUAACGGCUUACCAAGGCAACGAUGCGUAGCCGACCUGAGAGGGUGAUCGGCCACACUGGAACUGAGACACGGUCCAGACUCCUACGGGAGGCAGCAGAG
rnacentral:rRNA from 1 species